rnacentral:rRNA from 1 species
UACGAAGGGGGCUAGCGUUGUUCGGAUUUACUGGGCGUAAAGCGCACGUAGGCGGAUCUUUAAGUCAGAGGUGAAAUCCCGGAGCUCAACUUCGGAACUGCCUUUGAUACUGGGGAUCUCGAGUUCGGGAGAGGUGAGUGGAACUGCGAGUGUAGAGGUGAAAUUCGUAGAUAUUCGCAAGAACACCAGUGGCGAAGGCGGCUCACUGGCCCGAUACUGACGCUGAGGUGCGAAAGCGUGGGGAGCGAACAGG